rfam:Triticum aestivum genome assembly, contig: Triticum_aestivum_CS42_TGACv1_scaffold_374148_5AL
ACAUCCAUGGCUGAAUGGUUAAAGCGCAUAGCUCAUAAUUUGUAGAUUUACGAGUUCAAUUCCUGCUGGAUGCA